GUGUGUCGUAAUAUUACAAACGAUUUUUACGGAAAAGGGAUGAGAGUUCCACUAAACUUGAGGAAGGAUCAGAUUUUCAUUGCACUUACUCUAGGAUUAAUUACUGGUUAUUACAAUUGGAAACAUCUGUUGAUCGAACACUUGAAGAAAGAAUCAGAAAUUAUAAAUGAGUCUAAUAAGGAGAGCCAAUAAUGUGCUUGUUCAAAAAUUCAGUUCAAUUGGGCUUUUAGUGAUCAGUGGUGUUUUGGCUUAUGUAUGUUUUAAAGUGGGUGUAAAACCUUGGUAUCAGCGAUGGAAACAUAAGAAAAUUGAAGCACAGGCAAACAUAAUCUAUGAGCUACGUUAUGGUAAAGCUUCGCAAGAACAUCAAGACGAAGAUCAAAUUUAAAUUUGUUUUUAUAUAUUAUUGUUAUGUGACUUCACAUGUCUUUAUUCAUAUUUUUAUUUAAAUAAACAUUGUAAUGAUAAAACAGAAUGCAAGUAAUGUAAUAUCAGCUCAAUAGAAUUGUUACAUAACUGCUACCGCAGAGAGAUGGUCUCUGA